AGUAGUCUUAAUCCUGUUUGACGGACUGCACUUGGGACCUUGCGCUUGAGGCAGGCAGCAGAACCACUGAGCUAAAUCCCUGACCUCCAACUCCAUAAUCAAAGACCAGGAUCAGAUUGAACCUCUGUGGAUUUGAAAGUGCCAGAACCAGCACCCUACCCUAAUCCGACUGCAGGUUUGCUGGGCUCUGGGCUCUGACUGCCUCCUUAGUCUACCAGCAAGAGCAGAGUGACACCCUGAACUGGACACUGCCAUAAAACUACAGACUCCAAAAGGACUUUGCACCGAGAGGUUCCAGGAGGACAUAACAUCACAGCUUUAGAAGCUGGUCUGGGCACAGGCACAGAUUUCCUACAAAAACCAGAGGCUCAAAAGGAAUUAAGGAAAGCCUGUAUCUUCCCUAUAAUCCCAGCUUUUAUUGAAGUAGAAGGUCGACUGGAAAUAAAAGUCACAUUGAUUUCCUUGAGAAAACACAUCACUGUAUUAAAAAAAAAAA
rnacentral:lncRNA from 1 species